rnacentral:lncRNA from 1 species
ACCAGAGGAGCUGGAGAGGUAGUGGGGAGCUGGAGGGUAGUGGGGAACCCAGAGGAGCUGGAAGAGGUAGUGGGGAGCUGGAGAGGUAGUGGGGAACCCAGAGGAGCUGGAGAGGUAGUGGGGAGUGAGGGGUAUGGGGAACCCAGAGGCGUGGAGAGGAGUGGGGAGCUGGAGAGGUAGUGGGAACCAGAGGAGCUGGAGAGGUAGUGGGGAGCUGGAGAGGUAGGGGGAACCCAGAGGGGCUGGAGAGGUGUGGGGAGCUGGGAGGUGUGGGGAACCCAGAGGAGCUGGAGAGGUGGGAGUGGGGGGAAGUGGGGAGGGAGCUGAGAGGUAGGGAGGUGGAGUAGUGGGGAACCAGAGGAGCUGGAGAGGUAGUGGGGAGCUGGGAGGUAGUGGGGAACCCAGAGGAGCUGGAGAGGUAGUGGGGAGCUGGAGAGGUAGUGGGGAACCCAGAAGGUCUGGAAAGGAAGUGGUGAACUGGACAGGUACAUAUUCUUAAGUCAAUAAAUCUUAUUAGGAUCAACGUCCAUGACAACAUCCCCAACUCUUCUCUCUUUUCCUCUCUCUUGUGUGUGUAAAGGCUGGGAGGGAGCAUGAUGGUCAGGGUAAUCGUUGUGGGGACGAGACAGCCAUGGGGAGUGUGAUGGCUCCACUGGUUCAAGCGUGCCAUCCACCGAUACCACGGUGGUCCAUGGAGGUGGACAGGAGCGCAAGAGAUAUAUACAUUCGUACGACUGUCUCCUGGACGACCCGUUCAAACACGACUGGCCCCAGCUGCCGGAGCUGCCAGGGAUCAACUACUCCAUGGAUGAACAGUGUCGCUUCGACUUCGGAGUCGGAUACAAAAUCUGCACAUCAGUAAGUUUGGUCUCGGACAUCGUCUAGUCUAGUAGAGAGACAGAGAUACCCUAUAGAGCUGUCUGAUACUUUAGACUCCCUUCCGC